rnacentral:rRNA from 1 species
UUGAAGAGUUUGAUCAUGGCUCAGAUUGAACGCUGGCGGCAGGCCUAACACAUGCAAGUCGAGCGGUAGCACAGAGAGCUUGCUCUCGGGUGACGAGCGGCGGACGGGUGAGUAAUGUCUGGGAAACUGCCUGAUGGAGGGGGAUAACUACUGGAAACGGUAGCUAAUACCGCAUAACGUCGCAAGACCAAAGUGGGGGACCUUCGGGCCUCAUGCCAUCAGAUGUGCCCAGAUGGGAUUAGCUGGUAGGUGGGGUAACGGCUCACCUAGGCGACGAUCCCUAGCUGGUCUGAGAGGAUGACCAGCCACACUGGAACUGAGACACGGUCCAGACUCCUACGGGAGGCAGCAGUGGGGAAUAUUGCACAAUGGGCGCAAGCCUGAUGCAGCCAUGCCGCGUGUGUGAAGAAGGCCUUCGGGUUGUAAAGCACUUUCAGCGGGGAGGAAGGCGGUGAGGUUAAUAACCUCAUCGAUUGACGUUACCCGCAGAAGAAGCACCGGCUAACUCCGUGCCAGCAGCCGCGGUAAUACGGAGGGUGCAAGCGUUAAUCGGAAUUACUGGGCGUAAAGCGCACGCAGGCGGUCUGUCAAGUCGGAUGUGAAAUCCCCGGGCUCAACCUGGGAACUGCAUUCGAAACUGGCAGGCUAGAGUCUUGUAGAGGGGGGUAGAAUUCCAGGUGUAGCGGUGAAAUGCGUAGAGAUCUGGAGGAAUACCGGUGGCGAAGGCGGCCCCCUGGACAAAGACUGACGCUCAGGUGCGAAAGCGUGGGGAGCAAACAGGAUUAGAUACCCUGGUAGUCCACGCUGUAAACGAUGUCGAUUUGGAGGUUGUGCCCUUGAGGCGUGGCUUCCGGAGCUAACGCGUUAAAUCGACCGCCUGGGGAGUACGGCCGCAAGGUUAAAACUCAAAUGAAUUGACGGGGGCCCGCACAAGCGGUGGAGCAUGUGGUUUAAUUCGAUGCAACGCGAAGAACCUUACCUGGUCUUGACAUCCACAGAACUUWSCAGAGAUGSWUUGGUGCCUUCGGGAACUGUGAGACAGGUGCUGCAUGGCUGUCGUCAGCUCGUGUUGUGAAAUGUUGGGUUAAGUCCCGCAACGAGCGCAACCCUUAUCCUUUGUUGCCAGCGGUYMGGCCGGGAACUCAAAGGAGACUGCCAGUGAUAAACUGGAGGAAGGUGGGGAUGACGUCAAGUCAUCAUGGCCCUUACGACCAGGGCUACACACGUGCUACAAUGGCAUAUACAAAGAGAAGCGACCUCGCGAGAGCAAGCGGACCUCAUAAAGUAUGUCGUAGUCCGGAUUGGAGUCUGCAACUCGACUCCAUGAAGUCGGAAUCGCUAGUAAUCGUAGAUCAGAAUGCUACGGUGAAUACGUUCCCGGGCCUUGUACACACCGCCCGUCACACCAUGGGAGUGGGUUGCAAAAGAAGUAGGUAGCUUAACCUUCGGGAGGGCGCUUACCACUUUGUGAUUCAUGACUGGGGUGAAGUCGUAACAAGGUAACCGUAGGGGAACCUGCGGUUGGAUCACCUCCUU